UUGAACUGUUCUUUAAAACAAUGCCUUCCUUAUCACCAAAUAGUGAAACCAUGGCGUAUUCCUUAAAUGGGGUGGCUGUUGGCUCAAUCGGAGCGGUCUUCCCUAUAUCAGAAGCAGGCGGACUUUAGCUGGCUCUGGGGCUGCCGCCUCCACGGACAGUUGGAUCAAGAGAAGGCUGCUCUGUGCCAGGGGCAACUAGUGGCACCUCGGCCAUAAAUGUGCACCAAUUGAAACAGAAGUAGAGUUGCUGUGUGUUACACCAACAAUUUGGGCCACAUAUGGACACAGGAGUGAUUGAGACACACUUCAAAGAAACCGUAAAAAAACAACCAAAGCCAGCGUCUGAGCACAGAGUGAGACAGUGGCAGUGACUGAACAUGAACAAGUUUUUGUGUUUGGGAGUUACAAACCUGUUCCAUAGGGUGCGUCACAUUUAAUAAAAAUAUUUAAAUGA